UACGAAGGGGGCGAGCGUUGUUCGGAAUUACUGGGCGUAAAGGGCGCGUAGGCGGCGAUCCGAGUCAGAUGUGAAAGUCCUGGGCUUAACCUGGGGACUGCAUUUGAUACUGGAUUGCUUGAAUUCGGGAGAGGAUAGCGGAAUUCCCAGUGUAGAGGUGAAAUUCGUAGAUAUUGGGAAGAACACCGGUGGCGAAGGCGGCUAUCUGGACCGACAUUGACGCUGAGGCGCGAAAGCGUGGGGAGCAACCAGG
rnacentral:rRNA from 1 species